GGGUGUUUAGCUCAGCUGGGAGAGCGUCGCCCUUACAAGGCGAAGGUCGUGGGUUCGAUCCCCUCAACACCCA
rnacentral:tRNA from 1 species